CAAAAUGUAGCUUAACUAAAGCCUCUCGCUUACACCGAGACUACGUCUGUAUGACCCAGAUCAUUUUGA
rnacentral:tRNA from 1 species